UAUGUGAUCGUCUCUCGCAUAUCAAUAAGCGGAGGAAAAGAAACUAACAAGGAUUCCCCUAGUAACGGCGAGUGAAGCGGGAAGAGCUCAAAUUUGAAAUCUUAAAGGGUUUCCCUUUACGAAUUGUAGUUUAAAGAAGUGUUUUCUGUUGAGGUUUUGGUAAAAGUUCUUUGGAAUAGGACAUCAUAGAGGGUGAGAAUCCCGUAUUUGACCUUUACUUUCAACUUUGUGAUACACUUUCAAAGAGUCGGAUUGUUUGGGGAAUGCAGUCCAAAAUGGGUGGUAAAUUUCAUCUAAAGCUAAAUAUUGGCGAGAGACCGAUAGCGAACAAGUACCGUGAGGGAAAGAUGAAAAGAACUUUGAAAAGAGAGUUAAACAGUACGUGAAAUUGUCAAAAGGGAAGCGUUUGACACCAGUGUUGUUUUUCUGAAAAUCAAUUAAAGAACUGUUUAUGCUAAGCUGUUUAGACUUUAUCAGCUAUCUGUUUAGUUUUAGGCUUUUCUUUAAUGCACUUUUCAGUUAACAAGUCAACAUCAAUUUCUUUUGCUGUAAAAAAGCUUGAGGAAGGUGGCUUGAGAUUCGUCUUAAGGGUUUAUAGCCUCUUGCCUAUGCAGUCGGAGAGAUUGAGGUCUGCAGCGUAGAUCCUUCGGGGCUGAAUGCAUUUGUGCUAAGUUAUAGCAUUUUAUAGACAACUUGUUGACUAUGAUUUGUCUUGUAGCUUACUCGCUUAUGUUAUUUUACCUACGCUUAGGAUGUUGAUCUACAGAGCGAGAGU
rnacentral:rRNA from 1 species